UGAGGAAUAUUGGUCAAUGGACGAGAGUCUGAACCAGCCAAGUAGCGUGAAGGAUGACUGCCCUAUGGGUUGUAAACUUCUUUUAUAUGGGAAUAAAGUGGUCCACGUGUGGAUUUUUGUAUGUACCAUAUGAAUAAGGAUCGGCUAACUCCGUGCCAGCAGCCGCGGUAAUACGGAGGAUCCGAGCGUUAUCCGGAUUUAUUGGGUUUAAAGGGAGCGUAGGUGGACAGUUAAGUCAGUUGUGAAAGUUUGCGGCUCAACCGUAAAAUUGCAGUUGAUACUGGCUGUCUUGAGUACAGUAGAGGUGGGCGGAAUUCGUGGUGUAGCGGUGAAAUGCUUAGAUAUCACGAAGAACUCCGAUCGCGAAGGCAGCUCACUGGACUGCAACUGACACUGAUGCUCGAAAGUGUGGGUAUCAAACAGGAUUAGAUACCCUGGUAGUCCACACAGUAAACGAUGAAUACUCGCUGUUUGCGAUAUACAGUAAGCGGCCAAGCGAAAGCAUUAAGUAUUCCACCUGGGGAGUACGCCGGCAACGGUGAAACUCAAAGGAAUUGACGGGGGCCCGCACAAGCGGAGGAACAUGUGGUUUAAUUCGAUGAUACGCGAGGAACCUUACCCGGGCUUAAAUUGCAUUUGAAUAAUCAAGAAAUUGGUUAGUCGUAAGACAAAUGUGAAGGUGCUGCAUGGUUGUCGUCAGCUCGUGCCGUGAGGUGUCGGCUUAAGUGCCAUAACGAGCGCAACCCUUAUCUUCAGUUACUAACAGGUCAUGCUGAGGACUCUGGAGAGACUGCCGUCGUAAGAUGUGAGGAAGGUGGGGAUGACGUCAAAUCAGCACGGCCCUUACGUCCGGGGCUACACACGUGUUACAAUGGGGGGUACAGAAGGCCGCUACCUGGUGACAGGAUGCUAAUCCCAAAAGCCUCUCUCAGUUCGGAUCGAAGUCUGCAACCCGACUUCGUGAAACUGGAUUCGCUAGUAAUCGCGCAUCAGCCAUGGCGCGGUGAAUACGUUCCC
rnacentral:rRNA from 1 species